ACAAAUUAGAGUGCUUAAAGCAGGCAAGCCCGCCUGAAUAUUGUGUGCAUGGAAUAAUGGAAUAGGACCUCGGUUCUAUUUUGUUGGUUUUCGGAACCCGAGGUAAUGAUUAAUAGGGACUGGCGGGGGCAUUCGUAUUGCGACGUUAGAGGUGAAAUUCUUGGAUCGUCGCAAGACGAACAGAAGCGAAAGCAUUUGCCAAGUAUGUUUUCAUUAAUCAAGAACGAAAGUUAGAGGUUCGAAGGCGAUCAGAUACCGCCCUAGUUCUAACCAUAAACGAUGCCAGCCAGCGAUCCGUCGAGUUCCUCCGAUGACUCGGCGGGCAGCCACCGGGAAACCAAAGCUUUUGGGUUCCGGGGGAAGUAUGGUUGCAAAGCUGAAACUUAAAGGAAUUGACGGAAGGGUACCACAAGGAGUGGAGUCUGCGGCUUAAUUUGACUCAACACGGGAAAACUCACCAGGCCCGGACACCCGAAGGAUUGACAGAUUGAUAGCUCUUUCUUGAUUGGGUGCGUGGUGGUGCAUGGCCGUUCUUAGGUCGUGGAGCGAU
rnacentral:rRNA from 2 species